AUUAUUUCUUCCUCCUUCUACUGCAGUGGAAGAACAUUGUUCAUCUGCUGUGUGUGGCUUUAAGAGCUCCAGAGACAUGUUGCUUUACCUCUUUUUGCUUCUAUCUCACCUUCUAGGACUAACAGCUGGAGACACAAUCUCUGCUGAUAGAGAUGAAGUCAGAGGGACAGAAGGACAACCUGUCUCACUCAGCUGUAGCUAUGAGACAACAUCUGAGUAUCCUGACCUUCACUGGUUCAGACAUGGUUCUGAUCUGGAGGCUGCUUAGUUUCUGCUACUGCUUAAAAGCUGCCAUGCAUGCAGCACAAGGGAGGCUCUCCCCUGCGAUUCCACCCGUUGGUUUGGUUGUUGUUUGGCUUUAGGUUAUUGUUGUUUAUUUCUGGGCUUUGAUUAAUCUUAAUUUUGGUUUCUCGUUUCCUUUUUAGAUUUCAUUUCUUUAAAUGUUCCCCCACUGAACGAGCCUGGUGGACGUAACAAUGGUCUACAGAUGUUUCACUGCAGCUCACUGCAGGAGGCACUGAUGAUUGGAUGGAUUCCAGUGAUGUCAACAGAACCAAAAACCAAUGAGUCCAUCAGUUAGAAAGAAAAACUAACUUCUUUCACAAAUUUUGUUUUUAAUGACCUUGAACAGCACAGAACCAAACCCCAGAACAUCUCACAACAGAGUAGAACAUAUACUGAAGCUUACAUCGAUACGAUAAGAAGCAUAUAGAUGCUAGAUAUUUCAAACAGGCACGAUUAGAGAUAAAACAUUCAUAUAAUGUCUAAAACGUUUAGUUUCUACUCUUCUCUGUUCAUCAUUCCAGGAUAAUUUACUGCAGGUCUAAACAUGGAUCCUGCUGGAAGCUCAACUUCCUGCUCCAGGUUCUACUG